GACAGAGGGGGCAAGCGUUGCUCGGAUUUACUGGGCGUAAAGGGCGCGGAGGCGGCUUUGUAAGUCCGAGGUGAAAUUCCAGAGCUUAACUGUGGAACUGCCUUGGAAACUGCAAGGCUUGAGUCAGGUAGAGGGAGGCGGAAUUCCCGGUGUAGCGGUGAAAUGCGUAGAUAUCGGGAGGAAGGCCGGUGGCGAAGGCGGCCUCCUGGGCCUGCACUGACGCUGAGGCGCGAAAGCGUGGGGAGCAAACAGG
rnacentral:rRNA from 1 species